GAAGCCAUGCAUGUGACUUCCCACGUGCAGCCUGGAAAUGGGGGUGCGUUAACACCUCCUGAGUGAACCUUUGGUCAGUAAGAGAUAAUUGCUGAGGAAUAAACACUUUCUCUUUCUUCUCUAAGGAGGCACUUCUAAGAGGCACUUCUGGUGGCUUUUCAGAGCCCAAUAACAAGCUUGCACAUAAACAUUUUUAGGAAACACAGUCCCAAAGGCAUGUGCUCACUAUCUAAAUUCACAGCAGGGGGAAAGAAUCAAACAGCACAGUCCCCAGGUUGUAUGAGCUCCCCCAUGGCCCCAGCUCUUUUCUCCUAGUCAGGAAGCCCUGAGGACAACUUUCACCAUCAGUGCCUGUUGAGAACAACAGAAAUGGACUCACAGCUGAAGCAGGGGACAGCCCCCCUUUUUCACGUCAUUGUGUGGCUAAAGAGCAAAGCAAUCAUUUAAUAAAGAAGACACUGGGCUCCAGCUCAAGCUAUGAAAUGACUGCAUCCCGGAAUUCCGGGUGGAAGCACAUUUGUGAACUUCUGACACCUUCUCGCAGAUGCUGAGCCUGGAGAUGUGUGACUCACACAAACAGCCUGACUCAACACCAACGGAGAGCAGCCAGCUAUAUUCAGGAUAGGCUCGCUCAGCGUGGCACGGUGUUCAGGUCUAGACAGAGAUCUCAACUUUAUUUAUAUCGUGAAUUGGAAAGAAAGAGAUUUUCACACCUAACCAAUAAGCGUUGUCCAUAUCAGAAGAAUACAUGCAAAACGCAUAAGAACAUUUCUGUUGGUGAACCAAAUGUUGGAUAAAAUGCUUGGCCAUUUGACUGGAAAGUUUAGAGUUUAACCUUGCAGAUUCACGG